rnacentral:rRNA from 1 species
AUUGAACGCUGGCGGCAGGCCUAACACAUGCAAGUCGAGCGGAUGAAGGGAGCUUGCUCCUGGAUUCAGCGGCGGACGGGUGAGUAAUGCCUAGGAAUCUGCCUGGUAGUGGGGGAUAACGUCCGGAAACGGGCGCUAAUACCGCAUACGUCCUGAGGGAGAAAGUGGGGGAUCUUCGGACCUCACGCUAUCAGAUGAGCCUAGGUCGGAUUAGCUAGUUGGUGGGGUAAAGGCCUACCAAGGCGACGAUCCGUAACUGGUCUGAGAGGAUGAUCAGUCACACUGGAACUGAGACACGGUCCAGACUCCUACGGGAGGCAGCAGUGGGGAAUAUUGGACAAUGGGGCAAAGCCUGAUACAGCCAUGCCGCGUGUGUGAAGAAGGUCUUCGGAUUGUAAAGCACUUUAAGUUGGGAGGAAGGGCAGUAAGUUAAUACCUUGCUGUUUUGACGUUACCAACAGAAUAAGCACCGGCUAACUUCGUG